UACGUAGGGCGCGGGCGUUGUCCGGAUUUAUUGGGCGUAAAGAGCUCGUAGGCGGCUUGUUGCGUCGACUGUGAAAACCCGCGGCUUAACUGCGGGCUUGCAGUUGAUACGGGCAGGCUAGAGUUCGGUAGGGGAGACUGGAAUUCCUGGUGUAGCGGUGAAAUGCGCAGAUAUCAGGAGGAACACCGGUGGCGAAGGCGGGUCUCUGGGCCGAUACUGACGCUGAGGAGCGAAAGCGUGGGGAGCGAACAGG
rnacentral:rRNA from 1 species